AUCUUAUUAAGAAGACGGGAGAGGUAUAGCUCUGUGAACGUCUACCAACCAGCAAACGCAAGGUGGUAAAGCUAUAAGCGAUGAGGA
rnacentral:ncRNA from 1 species